rnacentral:snRNA from 2 species
GCUUUCUUCAGCAAUACAUAUGCAAAAAUUGAACAAUACAGAGAACUAGCACAGCCUCUGCACAAGGAUGACAUGCAAAUAAAGAUUAUGAAUUUUG